rnacentral:misc_RNA from 1 species
CCACGGUUCGAAUCCGUGGC